AAAAAAAAGUUUCUCUUCAAAACGCAUAAAUCUUUUACUAAAGAUUUCCGUGGGAAGGAACACUCAAUCAAGAAUUCUUAAUUGAACUCAAUGUUUGCCUGUUUGGUAUAAUUACAAAG